GGUGGACCAAAGAACGACACGUCGCCUGAUUGCAUGUGUACCGACUAACGAACGCGCCACCACGUGACUGAAACAGCAGGAUGCGAAAGAAAAAGAUUGAAUGCACCGGGACUUUCCGGUGGCGGUGGGAGAGGAGUCAAAGUGGCGCAGCAACAGAGCACACCCAGUUUGCGAAAUUGGAAUUGGGAUUUUGAUUGUGUGAGUAAAAAAAGAGAGCGAGUUCAAAAUUGGGGGCUGAAAUGGUAGAAUUAUUGGUAGCGAAAAAUUGGGGUUGAGGACAGUGACUGUUAGAUUGAUAAGGUUAGGGUUUAUGUUGGAAUUAGGUCAAAAUUUCAAAUGGGGAGAAUUUUUCUGAUUGAAUUGGACGGCAGAACUUACAGAUGCAGAUUCUGUGACAGCGCUCUUGCCCUUGCCGACGAUGUCCUCUCUCGGUCUUUCAACAGCCAUCAAGGAAGGGCAUAUCUGUUCAGCAAUGUGGUGAACAUAACGCUCGGUCCUGAGGAAGAUAGGCUAAUGUACUCUGGUUUGCAUACUGUGGAAGAUAUUUUUUGUUGCUGCUGCGGACAGAUUCUUGGCUGGAAAUAUGUAAUUGCACACGAAAAAAACCAAAAAUACAAGGAAGGAAAGUUUGUGCUCGAAAGAUGGAGGAUAGUGGAGGAUGUAGCUGAGGAAUUCAACUUGGACGCUCGUCUUGGUUCAAGUGAUGGAGAAAAUCCCUAGCAAAGUUCAACACUUAUACAAAUAAUAAGAGGUGGAUGCUACAGUUAUAAUCAUUACAGACAAUAUCAAGAGUUCUGAAUUCUGUAUUACACUUUCAGUAUAAAGGUACAUCAUUCAGUAUUGUCUGACCGAGUCUUGGACGGAGCCAUGGAGAUGGGGACCACAGAAUAAUCGGGUAAAAGAAAGAAAAAAUAAUAAAAUGUCACCGUCCGGGGAUUGUUGUGGUGGUAUUAAUUGGAACGGCACGGCCACGCGCCGCUCUGCAACUCUCUGCCCCCGCGUGAUGCACACCACGGUUGGACUCUCAGUGCCCUUCCCUUUUCGAACAACUUUCAUAGCAUACGAGUGCAUCGUUAAGGUAAUGUUUUGUUGUUUUGUGUCGAUGAUACAAUCUGAUAUGUAAAUGUUAUUAUGUACGAUAUUGUAUUUUUGCACGUGAAAUUAUAUUAGCAAUGUAUUUAUGUUAUAUAAGUA